UACGUAGGGGGCCAGCGUUGCUCGGAAUUACUGGGCGUAAAGGGUUCGUAGGCGGUGUGGCAAGUCGGUAGUGAAAUCUCCAGGCUUAACUUGGAGGCUGCUGCCGAAACUGCCGUGCUAGAGUGUGGGAGAGGCGAGUGGAAUUACAGGUGUAGCGGUGAAAUGCGUAGAUAUCUGUAGGAACACCAGUGGCGAAGGCGGCUCGCUGGACCACAACUGACGCUGAGGAACGAAAGCUAGGGGAGCAAACAGG
rnacentral:rRNA from 1 species